rnacentral:rRNA from 1 species
UGGGGAGUACGGCCGACAAGGUUAAAACUCAAGGAAUUGACGGGGACCCGCACAAGCGGUGGAUGAUGUGGAUUAAUUCGAUGCAACGCGAAAAACCUUACCUACCCUUGACAUGUCCAGAAGCUCUUAGAGAUUUGAGUGUGCCCGAAAGGGAGCUGGAACACAGGUGCUGCAUGGCUGUCGUCAGCUCGUGUCGUGAGAUGUUGGGUUAAGUCCCGCAACGAGCGCAACCCUUGUCGUUAAUUGCCAUCAUUUAGUUGGGCACUUUAACGAGACUGCCGGUGACAAACCGGAGGAAGGUGGGGAUGACGUCAAGUCCUCAUGGCCCUUAUGGGUAGGGCUUCACACGUCAUACAAUGGUCGGUACAGAGGGUUGCCAAGCCGCGAGGUGGAGCCAAUCCCAGAAAGCCGAUCGUAGUCCGGAUUGCAGGCUGCAACUCGCCUGCAUGAAGUCGGAAUCGCUAGUAAUCGCGGAUCAGCAUGUCGCGGUGAAUACGUUCCCGGGUCG